rnacentral:tRNA from 1 species
ACAGAUGUAAGUUAAAAUAAACUAGUAGUUUUCAAAACUAAAAAUUUUUCUGUA